AUGGAGAGAGAAUAAUCAUCCCUUUCCGUGAUUCAAAGAGUUUCUCGACAUUUCUUCCAAAGAGGAACAACAAUGGCGAAAAAUAAAUCCUUAGAAAUGUCUGAAGAAACGAAAAAAAAUCCAUGAAUCAUAACUUCUACUUCUUUUUUAAAUCAAAUCAGAAACCAGUCAUCCUUUCCUAAGAAGAAAUCUUGUUGAUUCUCGAAUUUGAGAAUAAUGUUGGAAAAAUUAAGUAGUAUACGAUCGUCUACAUACGUAAUAGGAAUAUCGAAUUUGGUUGUGAUAGUUUUAGGUGUGAUUUUAGUGAUUUAUUCAUCGUUUGGGAGAUGUAAUGGUGGUAAAAUUCUUCCAUUAAUAGUUGUUGCAAUGGCUGCUUCUGUUAGAAUCAUUGCUAUGUUUGGUAUAGCGAUUGCUCAACAAGCUACCGCCACAAGUAUACUGAGCUCAACUCAGGUUGAUUCUUCUUCUUCUGCUGUUGAUGCUGUUAACCGCAAUGAACGACGGAUGAGGUAUAAAAGGUGGCUGUGGUGGACUCGGUUUGGAAUGGUAAUUACCGUAUUACAGUUUUUUGGGGCAAGUUAUUUAAUGAUCAUCAUACUACAAUAUUUUUCUCAAUCUGGAAAAUCAAGUUGGUGUUUUCUAGAUCCAAAUCAUAAUGCAUUGGAGCGGAAGUUACUGGUCGCUUUUCUCGUUCUUGUGUGGUUUGUGGUCAUUAUACAAUGUAUAGCAGGAUCUGAUGUAUUGAGAUGGAGGUCUUUCUAUGCAACUCAUGAUAAUGCAUGGAAAGCUCAUUACCACGAGGUUUUUGAUCAUGGAAUUCGUGAAGUUUUGUGCUGUCUCGGGCGAGUAAAAUACUUGAGUGUCUUGGAGGAAGAUGAGGUAUACUCUGUAGCACGGCUUUUGGGCGACCUUGUUGCAUAUCGUGCAUCUGGAACUGGGCAUUUGGAACUUUUGGCAGGACUUGCUUUAUUACAGAGACCAAGGCCAUUAACAAGUAACGAAGAUGAUUUACUGGAGGCACCUGAAGAAACGAUUCGAGAGGCGGCUUCCCUUCAUCAAUUUACCGAAGCUGCCUACACGGGUCCAUUGCUUGAUUUUGGAAGGAACCCCAUAUUGUUCCCUUGUGCAUGGCUCUAUAGGCAAGGGGUUGUGACCCCCUGGACUCGAAACAGGCGACCUGUUCUUGGAGGUGAUAACUGGUGGCGGGGACACGCAGCUGCCUUUUUAAAUUACGUUAACCUUUCCCCAGAAUCACUUCGGCAAGGGCGAGUUUGUCAGGCAAAGUGUGAAGCUGCAUACUUCGUCGUGGUUUUACAUCACCUGAGAUCUGUGGUUAUUGCUGUACGUGGAACGGAGACUCCUGAAGACCUUAUAACUGAUGGUUUGUGCAGGGAAUGCACCCUUUCAGAGAAAGAUUUGGAUGGUUUGAUAAGUAGCAAUAGCAUUAUCAACCCAGAUGUGAAGCAAGGGGUUCUCUCAAGUUUUCCGCAUCAUGGGCAUUCAGGAAUAGUUGAAACUGCACGGGAGCUAUUCAUGCAAAUUGAUGGCGUACCUGAGAGUAAAGAUAGUGAACAGGAUGCCACUGGAUUUCUUUCCUCGUUAAUGGGACCCGAUUGUGAAUGUCAUGGAUACAAUAUUCGGAUUGUGGGGCAUUCUCUUGGAGGUUCUAUUAGUGCCUUACUUGGAAUAAGGUUAUAUGGCCGGUUUCCGAAUUUGCAUGUGUAUUCGUUUGGACCCCUACCAUGUGUGGAUUCAAUCGUUGCAGAUUCAUGUUCAGACUUCGUUACAAGCAUCGUAUACAAUGAUGAAUUUUCUGCACGGCUUUCAGUAAAUUCAAUUCUUAGGCUUCGUGCCGCAUCAAUCACAGCAUUGUCAGAGGAUUCUGCUGCUGAUUCAGUCAUGAUUUUCAGACUUGCUCGGCGAGUAAUGCAGCUUAGCAGUUUUAAGUCCAACGAGGAGGCAGUUCCUGCUUCCUCCUUGGAAAGUGAGACCAUGACACCUCAAGACAGUAACCACCAUAUUCACAGAAGAAGACACUACAACUAUGUUAUAGAAGGGGGUGCCGAACAGGAUCAGGAGUUCCCUGCUUUCAACGUUACAGAUUUUACCGAAAGCCAAGAUACUGCAAUUCUAAAAGAAAACUCUGAGCAAGUUGGCUGCUAUGAUACACUUAGUAGUUGCACCACUCCAUGCAUUGAAGUGAAGGAAGAUGUAAUUACGUGUGAAGAUCCUGUGUCUAAAUUUAUGAAUGCUGUCCCAUCGUCUGAUGAAACCUCAGCAGGAGAUCCCCCAGAGAUGUACCUCCCAGGUGUUGUUAUACUAAUGUUGCCAAAAAAGAAAAGCUUUUUGCCGAUCUGGGGUGGGUGGAAAAUUCAUGAAAGAGACCAAGGUUAUAGAGCCUACAUUGCAAAGAAGGAAAGUUUUAAAGAUAUUAUUGUUUCGCCAUUUAUGUUCCUCGAUCAUCUGCCUUGGAGAUGUCAUUAUGCCCUGCAGAAAGUACUAGAAGCCCGACAAGCACAAUCUCAACAAGAUUUAUCUGCUUUGGUGUAGAUAUGAAUCAUUUGAUUUUGACUCAUCGAUUCAUGCUCUCUUCAGUGGUCAAAUUGUUGCAUCCGUGGAAUAUUUUACAAGUUUGCAGCAGUCCCUUAACCAUCAUCCUGUAGAUACUCGAUUCAUUUGAGCAAGGGUUGCGAUCCUGGUUGGGUCUCUACCCCCGAGCAUUUGUGGAAAAGAAAGAAUAGAGACAAAUAUGCAGACUGGUGUGCAGGCUGGCAAAUAAGACUAAUCCUGAAACAAGCAAUCGGUUCUAUGUCAGUUGAUUUCAUAUACCCAGGUGAGGUGAUGAUGGAUAUUAACAUUUAGAACCAUUCAGCGAGGAAGAUCUACACUACAAUAGACGUUUUCCCACAAAAUCCACUGUUUCAGAAAAUGUCUGUGUAGGGUGGCUGAGUUGAACUGAGUUAAAUAGGUCAGAUGAAGAUUCACUGGGUUCACACAGCGUCGCACUUGAGUCGAUGGAUUAACAGAAACCUUGCAAGUCUAUUUUUGUAGGACCAUAUCUGUGUAGAUGUUUUCUGAGAAGUUAAGAUAAAGGGUGUUUUUUGUUUGGUUCUGGGGUUACAGUCAGAGAUUGUUAACGGAAACUGAGAUAAAUCAAACUAGUCCUCCGCUUUGAAGAACGAAAGAGUAAAAAGAAGAAAUCAUGUGAAAACUGAUAAAUACACGCCAACCAACUUUGAUUGCAACUCAAGUGUUCGUUAGUUUGUUAUCACAACUCACACCACAAGAGUACGACACUAAACUGCGCGUCGAUCAAAAACUCUAUUCGUCUCGUGUCUUCACAAAUAAAUACCCAAUUAGGGUAUUCACGAGUUUCAUUUUCAAAGUCCGUUUGCUUUAAGCUCCUCCACCUUUUAGAGGUGAACUGACAACCACUAAACGAAGUUUUUGCUUCAAGCAUCUGUCUACAAGUACGAACUACCACCCCUUUUUAAUCUCAAAGUCUCUCCUUCCUGGAUGGAAUGGAAUCAUAUCAAAAGGACGGUCAUUUUGAUCUCAAAAUUGAAUCUCUCCAAUACGCAAAUGACGAACGCUGUGACGCAAAGCGAUCCAAGAUACACGUGUGAUGUGCUACAAACUCGUUUUGGUGAUCAAGAAAAGGAUCUUUUUAUAGUAUCUCCUCCCGUGGCCUUUUCCUUCUAGAAUUAUAUGACAGCACAAGAGUAAUUGUCAAGAUUGGUUAAUUAGAUUAUUAUUAGUGG